AUUGAACGCUGGCGGCAUGCCUUACACAUGCAAGUCGAACGGUAACGCGGGGCAACCUGGCGACGAGUGGCGAACGGGUGAGUAACGCAUCGGAACGUGCCCAGUAGUGGGGGAUAGCCCGGCGAAAGCCGGAUUAAUACCGCAUACGACCUACGGGUGAAAGCGGGGGAUCGCAAGACCUCGCGCUAUUGGAGCGGCCGAUGUCAGAUUAGGUUGUUGGUGGGGUAAAGGCCCACCAAGCCUGCGAUCUGUAGCUGGUCUGAGAGGAGGACCAGCCACACUGGGACUGAGACACGGCCUAGACUCCUACGGGGGGCAGCAGUGGGGAAGUUUGGACAAUGGGCGCAAGCCUGAUCCAGCCAUGCCGCGUGCGGGAAGAAGGCCUUCGGGUUGUAAACCGCUUUUGUCAGGGAAGAAACGCUCUGGGUUAACACCCCGGGGUAAUGACGGUACCUGAAGAAUAAGCACCGGCUAACUACGUGCCAGCCGCCGCAGUAACAC
rnacentral:rRNA from 1 species